GACGAACGCUGGCGGCGUGCUUAACACAUGCAAGUCGAACGGUGAAAGCGGAGCUUGCUCCGCUGGAUCAGUGGCGAACGGGUGAGUAACACGUGGGCAACCUGCCCCUCACUUCGGGAUAACUCCGGGAAACCGGGGCUAAUACCGGAUAUGACCUCCUUGGGCAUCCUUGGAGGUGGAAAGUUCUUCGGUGAGGGAUGGGCCCGCAGCCUAUCAGCUUGUUGGUGAGGUAGUGGCUCACCAAGGCGACGACGGGUAGCCGGCCUGAGAGGGCGACCGGCCACACUGGGACUGAGACACGGCCCAGACUCCUACGGGAGGCAGCAGUGGGGAAUAUUGCGCAAUGGGCGAAAGCCUGACGCAGCAACGCCGCGUGCGGGAUGACGGCCUUCGGGUUGUAAACCGCUUUCAGCAGGGAAGAAGCCGCAAGGUGACGGUACCUGCAUAAGAAGCACCGGCUAACUACGUGCCAGCCGCCGCGGUAA
rnacentral:rRNA from 1 species